rnacentral:rRNA from 1 species
AUUAAUAAGCGGAGGAAAAGAAACUAACGAGGAUUCCCUCAGUAACGGCGAGUGAAGCGGGAAAAGCCCAGCACCGAAUCCCCCGCUCUCAGCGGCGGUGGGAACUGUGGUGUUAAGGACAGCCAAUGGGGAUCGGUUGGAGGUCCGAGUCCUCCUGAUCGGGGCUUCACCCAGAGCGGGUGUCAGGCCUCUACGGCCACCGGCCGGUUCUCUAUGGUCGUCCUAGGAGUCGGGUUGUUUGAGAAUGCAGCCCAAAGCGGGUGGUAAACUCCAUCUAAGGCUAAAUACAGACACGAGUCCGAUAGCGCACAAGUACCGUGAGGGAAAGUU